rnacentral:rRNA from 1 species
AGUGAACGCUGGCGGUAGGCCUAACACAUGCAAGUCGAACGGCAGCACAGUAAGAGCUUGCUCUUACGGGUGGCGAGUGGCGGACGGGUGAGGAAUACAUCGGAAUCUACUUUUUCGUGGGGGAUAACGUAGGGAAACUUACGCUAAUACCGCAUACGACCUACGGGUGAAAGCAGGGGAUCUUCGGACCUUGCGCGAUUGAAUGAGCCGAUGUCGGAUUAGCUAGUUGGCGGGGUAAAGGCCCACCAAGGCGACGAUCCGUAGCUGGUCUGAGAGGAUGAUCAGCCACACUGGAACUGAGACACGGUCCAGACUCCUACGGGAGGCAGCAGUGGGGAACAUUGGACAAAGGGCGCAAGCCUGAUCCAGCCAUACCGCGUGGGUGAAGAAGGCCUUCGGGUUGUAAAGCCCUUUUGUUGGGAAAGAAAAGCAGCAGGUUAAUACCCCGCUGUUCUGACGGUACCCAAAGAAUAAGCACCGGCUAACUUCGUG